rnacentral:rRNA from 1 species
CAGUCGCCACGGUAAUACAGAGGGUGCGAGCGUUAAUCGGAUUUACUGGGCGUAAAGCGUGCGUAGGCGGCUAAUUGAGUCGGAUGUGAAAUCCCUGAGCUUAACUUAGGAAUUGCAUUCGAUACUGGGAAGCUAGAGUAUGGGAGAGGAUGGUAGAAUUCCAGGUGUAGCGGUGAAAUGCGUAGAGAUCUGGAGGAAUACCGAUGGCGAAGGCAGCCAUCUGGCCUAAUACUGACGCUGAGGUACGAAAGCAUGGGGAGCAAACAGGAUUAGAUACCCGUGUAGUCCCUGUCUCUUAUAC